CCUACGGGCGGCAGCAGUGAGGAAUAUUGGUCAAUGGGCGCGAGCCUGAACCAGCCAAGUAGCGUGAAGGAUGACUGCCCUACGGGUUGUAAACUUCUUUUAUAAAGGAAUAAAGUGAGGUACGUGUGCCUUUUUGUAUGUACUUUAUGAAUAAGGAUCGGCUAACUCCGUGCCAGCAGCCGCGGUAAUACGGAGGAUCCGAGCGUUAUCCGGAUUUAUUGGGUUUAAAGGGAGCGUAGGUGGGUUGUUAAGUCAGUUGUGAAAGUUUGCGGCUCAACCGUAAAAUUGCAAUUGAUACUGGCAUCCUUGAGUACAGUUGAGGUAGGCGGAAUUCGUGGUGUAGCGGUGAAAUGCUUAGAUAUCACGAAGAACUCCGAUUGCGAAGGCAGCCUACUGGACUGUCACUGACGUUGAUGCUCGAAAGUGUGGGUAUCAAACAGGAUUAGAUACCCUAGUAGUC
rnacentral:rRNA from 1 species